rnacentral:rRNA from 1 species
GUAGGGUGCAAGCGUUAUCCGGAAUCAUUGGGCGUAAAGAGCUCGUAGGCGGUUCAGCAAGUCGGCUGUGAAAUCCCGAGGGCUUAACCUCGGAACUGCAGUCGAUACUGCUGUGACUAGAGUCCGGUAGAGGAGAAUGGAAUUCCCGGUGUAGCGGUGAAAUGCGCAGAUAUCGGGAGGAACACCAGUAGCGAAGGCGGUUCUCUGGGCCGGUACUGACGCUGAGGAGCGAAAGCGCGGGUAGCAAACAGGAUUAGAUACCCUGGUAGUCCACGCCGUAAACGUUGGACACUAGGUGUGGCGUUCCGACCAACGGGUGCCGUGCCGAAGCUAACGCAUUAAGUGUCCCGCCUGGGGAGUACGGCCGCAAAGGCUA